rnacentral:tRNA from 1 species
AUGGAAAUCUCUGUAAUUUUUAAAUAGUAUAGGGGCGAAGGUACCCAAUGGGAUCAGGGCCCCGGAUGGUG